rnacentral:rRNA from 1 species
GACAGAGGAUGCAAGCGUUAUCCGGAAUGAUUGGGCGUAAAGCGUCUGUAGGUGGCUUUUCAAGUCCGCCGUCAAAUCCCAGGGCUCAACCCUGGACAGGCGGUGGAAACUGCCAAGCUGGAGUACGGUAGGGGCAGAGGGAAUUUCCGGUGGAGCGGUGAAAUGCGUAGAUAUUGGGAGGAACACCCGUGGCGAAAGCGGCGCGCUGGACCACUACUGACGCUGAGGAACGAAAGCUAGGGGAGCAAACAGG